rnacentral:rRNA from 1 species
UACAGAGGGGGCAAGCGUUAUUCGGAAUUAUUGGGCGUAAAGGGCGCGUAGGCGGCUUUGCAAGUGACGGGUGAAAGCCCUCGGCUUAACCGAGGAACUGCCUGUCAGACUGUGAGGCUUGAGACCGGGAGAGGUGAGUGGAAUUCCCAGUGUAGCGGUGAAAUGCGUAGAUAUUGGGAGGAACACCAGUGGCGAAGGCGGCUCACUGGACCGGAACUGACGCUGAGGCGCGAAAGCGUGGGGAGCGAACAGG